UACGUAGGUCCCGAGCGUUGUCCGGAUUUAUUGGGCGUAAAGCGAGCGCAGGUGGUUUAUUAAGUCUGGUGUAAAAGGCAGUGGCUCAACCAUUGUAUGCAUUGGAAACUGGUAGACUUGAGUGCAGGAGAGGAGAGUGGAAUUCCAUGUGUAGCGGUGAAAUGUGUAGAUAUAUGGAGGAACACCGGUGGCGAAAGCGGCUCUCUGGCCUGUAACUGACACUGAGGCUCGAAAGCGCGGGGAGCAAACAGG
rnacentral:rRNA from 1 species